rnacentral:lncRNA from 1 species
UUUUAAAUGCCCCCAUUCCCAGGGCCAUGAGUAAUUUGAGUUGUUUUUUGUUGUUGUUGUUGUUAUUGUUUGAGAUGGAGUUUCACUCUUGUCACCCAGGCUGGAGUGCAAUGGUGUGAUCUCAGCUCACUGCAACCUCCACCUCCAGGGUUCAAGCAAUUCUACUGCCUCAGCCUCCCGAGUAGCUGGCAUUACAGGCGCAUGCAACCACGCCCAGCUAAUUUUUUGCAUUUUUAGUAGAGACGGGGUUUCACCGUGUUGGCUAGGCUGGUCUCAAACUCCUGAUCUCAGGUCAUCUGCCUGCCUCAGCCUCCCAAAGUGCUGCAAUCACAGGCAUGAGCCACCUGGCCUGUUUUUUAAAAAGCCUAAGCCUGUUGACCCCAGGCUCCACAAUCUUCAAUUUUCCGAGUCUCAGUUUUUUUUUCAUGAGUAAAAUAGAGGUAAUACCUACCUCACAGAGAUUUUGUGAAGAUUAAAUGAAACAGUGUCUGGACCAUAAGUGCCCAAUAUAAAGUCAUCCAGAGUAAAGUCAUAGGGCUCAAAGUCUUUCCGGAAGCGGCGAGCCAGGGUCUCCUCGUCUUCCUUGCUGAUCUGACACUGCCUCCAGUCAGACUUAUCAGGAACAUUAAGGAUGGCUUCACUGGCCAGGACCUCCCUGCAGAAAUAGCACAAAGAAGUCAAAAUGGAAACUAUCAGCCUGAGCUCUCCUCAACAUCACCCAAAGGAGGGACAUAGUGUAGUCAUACAAUUUCACAGGUCAAACAAGCCUAAUUCAGCCUUAAGAGAUGAGAAGGCUGCUUGGAAAGAAAGAAAAGUCUGAGAAAGCAGACCGUGCAUGCUAGUAAGGGAACUUGACAUUCCUUGCUUUAGUGGGGAAAAAAUUAAUU